rnacentral:rRNA from 1 species
UGGGGAAUAUUGGACAAUGGGCGCAAGCCUGAUCCAGCCCUGCCGCGUGAGUGAUGAAGGCCCUAGGGUUGUAAAGCUCUUUCACCGGUGAAGAUAAUGACGGUAACCGGAGAAGAAGCCCCGGCUAACUUCGUGCCAGCAGCCGCGGUAAUACGAAGGGGGCUAGCGUUGUCCGGAAUUACUGGGCGUAAAGGGCUCGUAGGUGGUUUGUCGCGUCGUCUGUGAAAUUCCGGGGCUUAACUCCGGGCGUGCAGGCGAUACGGGCAUAACUUGAGUACUGUAGGGGUAACUGGAAUUCCUGGGGUAGCGGUGAAAUGCGCGGAUAUCAGGGGGAACACCGAUGGCGAAGGCAGGUUACUGGGCAGUUACUGACGCUGAGGGGCGAAAGCAUGGGUAGCGAAAAGG